rnacentral:rRNA from 1 species
GAAGAACCUUACCUGGUCUUGACAUCCACAGAACUUGCCAGAGAUGGCUUGGUGCCUUCGGGAACUGUGAGACAGGUGCUGCAUGGCUGUCGUCAGCUCGUGUUGUGAAAUGUUGGGUUAAGUCCCGCAACGAGCGCAACCCUUAUCCUUUGUUGCCAGCGGUCCGCCCGGGAACUCAAAGGAGACUGCCAGUGAUAAACUGGAGGAAGGUGGGGAUGACGUCAAGUCAUCAUGGCCCUUACGACCAGGGCUACACACGUGAUACAAUGGCGCAUACAAAGGGAAGCCACCUCGCGAGAGCAAGCGGACCUCAUAAACCCGUCUAUCCGGAUUGGAGUCUGCAACUCGACUCCAUGAAGUCGGAAUCGCUAGUAAUCG